CACAAAUAAGUUAAACUCAAUAAUGUCACUCUUUAGUGAAAAAGAGUGAUCACCUUUUUUGUCUAAAGGACUAAAGAUAUAAUUGAAGUCGCCUAUAAGAAGAGUAGGCAAUUUCAGGCUAAGAAUAAUAGAAACAGUAUGCUAAAGCAUACGAUACUGCAAACCACUAGUACUAGCAUAUACAAUGCCAAUAAUCCAAGAAUCCCCCAAAGUAGGGGUAAUAACAUCAAAAAUAGCUUGACCAUCAAAUAGAUAAGAUCAAAAGCACCAAGUUCUUUAUACCAA
rnacentral:lncRNA from 1 species